rnacentral:rRNA from 1 species
GUUGUAUAGUCAAGUAAUUAAGUGCAUGUGGUGGAUGCCUUGGCAGUCAGAGGCGAUGAAAGACGUGAUAGCCUGCGAAAAGCUCCGGGGAGGCGGCAAAUAUCCUUUGAUCCGGAGAUGUCUGAAUGGGGGAACCCACCUACUUUAAGGUAGGUAUUGCAACAUGAAUACAUAGUGUUGCAAGGCGAACGAGGGGAAGUGAAACAUCUCAGUACCCUUAGGAAAAGAAAUCAAUUGAGAUUCCCUCAGUAGCGGCGAGCGAACGGGGAUCAGCCCAUUAAGUUAUGUGUGUUUUAGUGGAACGCUCUGGGAAGUGCGAACGUAGAGGGUGAUAUUCCCGUACACGAAAGGGCACACAUAAUGAUGACGAGUAGGGCGAGGCACGUGAAACCUUGUCUGAAUAUGGGGGGACCAUCCUCCAAGGCUAAAUACUCCUGACUGACCGAUAGUGAACCAGUACCGUGAGGGAAAGGCGAAAAGAACCCCUGUGAGGGGAGUGAAAUAGAUCCUGAAACCGCAUGCAUACAAGCAGUGGGAGCACCUUCGUGGUGUGACUGCGUACCUUUUGUAUAAUGGGUCAGCGACUUAUAUUCAGUAGCAAGGUUAACCGUAUAGGGGAGCCGUAGAGAAAUCGAGUCUUAAUAGGGCGUUUAGUUGCUGGGUAUAGACCCGAAACCAGGCGAUCUAUCCAUGAGCAGGUUGAAGGUUGGGUAACACUAACUGGAGGACCGAACCCACUGUCGUUGAAAAGCCAGGGGAUGACUUGUGGAUAGGGGUGAAAGGCUAAUCAAGCCUGGUGAUAGCUGGUUCUCCCCGAAAGCUAUUUAGGUAGCGCCUCGGACGAAUACCAUAGGGGGUAGAGCACUGUUUCGGCUAGGGGGUCAUCCCGACUUACCAAACCGAUGCAAACUCCGAAUACCUAUGAGUACUAUCCGGGAGACAGACUGCGGGUGCUAACGUCCGUAGUCAAGAGGAAAACAAUCCAGACCGCCAGCUAAGGCCCCAAAAUCAUAGUUAAGUGGGAAACGAUGUGGGAAGGCAUAGACAGCUAGGAGGUUGGCUUAGAAGCAGCCACCCUUUAAAGAAAGCGUAAUAGCUCACUAGUCGAGUCGGCCUGCGCGGAAGAUGUAACGGGGCUAAAACUAUGUGCCGAAGCUGCGGAUNNNNNNNNNNNNNNNNNNNNNNNNNNNNNNNNNNNNUUGACAUUAGUCAAGUGGUAGGGGAGCGUUCUGUAAGCCGAUGAAGGUGUAUUGAGAAGUAUGCUGGAGGUAUCAGAAGUGCGAAUGCUGACGUGAGUAACGACAAAACGGGUGAAAAACCCGUUCGCCGAAAGACCAAGGGUUCCAGUCCAACGUUAA